rnacentral:rRNA from 1 species
CAGCCGCCGCGGUAAUACGAAGGGUGCAAGCGUUAAUCGGAAUUACUGGGCGUAAAGCGUGCGUAGGCGGUUUGUUAAGUCUGUUGUGAAAUUCCCGGGCUCAACCUGAGAAUGGCAAUGGAUACUGGCAAGCUAGAGUGUGUCAGAGGAUGGUGGAAUUCCCGGUGUAGCGGUGAAAUGCGUAGAGAUCGGGAGGAACAUCAGUGGCGAAGGCGGCCAUCUGGGACAACACUGAUGCUGAGGCACGAAAGCGUGGGGAGCAAACAGGAUUAGAUACCCGCGUAGUCCCUGUCUCUUAUAC